rnacentral:rRNA from 1 species
AUUGAACGCUGGCGGCAGGCCUAACACAUGCAAGUCGAACGAGUGGCGGACGGGUGAGUAAUGUCUGGGAAACUGCACGAUGGCGGGGGAUAACUACUGGAAACGGUAGCUAAUACCGCAUACCAUCGGAUGUGCCCAGAUGGGAUUAGCUAGUAGGGGGGGUAACGGCUCCCCUAGGCGACGAUCCCUAGCUGGUCUGAGAGGAUGACCGGCCAAACGGGAACGGAGCAAUGGUACAGACCCCUACGGGAGGCAGCAGUGUGGAAUAUUGCACAAUGGGCGCAAGCCUGAUGCAGCCAUGCCGCGUGUAUGAAGAAGGCCUUCGGGUUGUAAAGUACUUUCAGCGAGGAGGCGUUACUCGCAGAAGAAGCAUCGGCUAACUCCGUGCCAGCAGCCGCGGUAAUUC